CUUUUGUGUGUUCCUAAGUGUGUGGAGUGACUCAAAUUUUAGCACAGAAAGUAAAGUUAGAAAGCAACUGCUAUUUGCCAACAACCCAUUCUUUAAUUCUCAAAGAUCAAAAAUUUGCUUGAAAACUGACAUUUUCAUUUUCUCCUGGCCCAGUGAACAAAGUUUUAAGGUUAUGUGGUCGCUCUGAUACCACCUAAGAAGCAAAUAUUUCUUGCAGUCUACUUCUAGAUGUGAAUGAACUGAAAGUAAAUGACUCAGAGAUGGAGUAAAUGUCCCUUGAAAUACACCCAAACUUAAUAAUUAGGAGAAGAGUGCUUGAAUAAACACAUUUAGAGUGUUAUUGAGCAUAUACAAGCUUAGAUGGUCCAUAUUUCUAAAAGACAGUGAGUCUAUAGCACAUUCUUCGGAGAUGAGAAAAUUAUGCCAUAAAUAAAAUUUGUAGUGGAGGCAUUUGUUUUAUCAUUCAGUUAAGUAGCAGGAAUUCUUUCAUACCUAGAGGGACUUAGGUAAAACUAAUAAACAGACAUACUUAACAACAAGAACAACAACAACAAAAAUAAAGCAUUACCAUUCAAGAGUGUGAAAUCACUUCUCUGAGAGCCUUUUUGGAUUGAAUAUUCUUUUUGGGCUGGUAAUGUCAAACUAAAACUUUACCUAAACACAGAUAACUAGGUGGCUCUUAGCAUACCUUUCAGGGCUUAUGGUCUCCAAUUAUUCCACUCACAUCCCCCUAUACAUUUCCAAAUCACCUCUUUCAGUGUCUCCAGUGUUUAAACAUGAACUGGAUAGAGUGUUGCAUGGUAGUAUUAAAUAAAAUUUAGCUUAAAGCUGUUUCCUUACAUAUUAUAAGUUCUGUCUAAAGGUUUCUACGUGCAUAGUAUACAUGUCAUUGAAAGUGUAAAUGGACUAUAACCUACUCUGAUACCAAUCACUGAGUUGUGGCCAAUCAAAGGUGGCCAACUGCUCAAACCACAUUCAAAUAUGGCAAAUGCUGAGCUGUAACCAAUCCCGUUGUUUCUGUACCUCAUUUCUGUUUUCUCUCUGUCACUUUUCUUUUUCUUUCCAUAAAUCUUCUUCAACCACCUGGCAGUGCCAGAGUUUCUCUGAACCCAUUCUGGCUUGGGGGAUGCCUGAUUCAUGAAUCAUUCUUUGCUCAAUUAAACUCUGUUUAAUUUAAUUUGUCUAAGGUUUUUCUUUUAACAGUAGAGAUAGGAGUACAACACACUUUGAGGUGUACAGGAGUGAGUUCAAAUCCUAGCUCUGUUAUUGGCUUGAUUUCUCAUCUUGAGCAAGGUACUUAGUUUCUCUGAGCCUUAGUUUCUGCACUUGUAAAUGUGGAGAAGUGAAACACCAGACUUGAGAGGAUGCUCUGCUAUCUGAACGAGGUAAUGGGAAAAUGCUCGGCCAGUGUUGUAACUCAAUCUUCUUAUCCAACAGUGAGCCCCUUGGGCACCCAGACCCAGACUCGCCCUUCUAGUCUCACGUCUUGCACUCUCUGGCACAUCUCAUGUAGGCUCUGUUGCCUGUCAUGUUUUCCAGUCCACAAAUACCCUUGGCAUGCUCUCAUGUCUGUACUUGGUCCACAUUAUUCUAACGUGAAUACAUGAAACUUCUAAUGACAGUGCAAUCUUUCUAGACAAUCUCUGAAGGAGAAAUGUUACUAGUCUGUGGUGAAUAUAAAAAUAGGCUCAUAGGGAAAAAAAACUGUGAUUGAAGGUAUAAUUCUGCAUUUUCUUGGGAUAUACAUAAAUAGCAAGUAGUCAUUUUUUACUUAAAAAAAAAAAAAGAAAUCUACAGAAAGAAAAUUUAGCUGUCUUUCUGUUGCUAACCUUCCAGGAGGCCUUGGUUCUCCUUUAAGGUUGAAGUUCGUUUGUGACAGGUUAGUGCUGCUCAUUUUUGUGGCUUUCCAGAAGCCACCGUGGAAAAGGCAGAAGUCUUCCCCUCCCAUUAUGCUGAGUCAGACAUGGCAUCUACAUGACUCAUCACCAAGUGGUUCUCCAGAAUUCACUUUGCUUGCUUUUCCCCAAUCCAGAUAAUCCUCGGGACUGGUAGCCACCCAACUCACUCCUGCACACUGUUCUUCCUCUUUGGAGGCACCCACCAUGCCUGUCUGAUGCUGCCCCUCAAGGUCACAUCGGAGUCUCCUGUACCUACCUUGUCUGUGGCUACCCAACUCUAUACAAUUUCUGAAGCUUUCAUAACACCCAGAUGGUCUAUAAUGUAAUAUGUGUUUAGAUAAUCCUCAGGCCAAAACAUCUUUCCAAAAUUUAACUGUAAAUCUGUCACUUCCAUGGGUUAUGUUAGUCUUUUCCAUGUUCAAAUGGCUAUCUGAGCUCCUGGGGAGGGGAAGUCACUCCCGGAGUUCUCUUUCCAUCAUUCAUAGUGUGAAUCUCACCUUGGGCUGGGAGGAAUUUGUGAUGGGCAUACAAGUGAGAAAAAGGGUGCAAAGGGGUGAGAUGGUAUGUUAGUCAGGGUUCUCUAGAGGGACAGAAUUAAUAGGAUAGAUGUAUAUACAAAGGGGAAUGUAUUAAGGAGUAUUAACUCACGAGAUCACAAGGUAAGGUUGCAUAAUAGGCCAUCUGCAACCUGAGGAGCAAGGAAGCCAGUCCAAGUCCCAAAGCUGAAGGACCUUGAGUCCAAUGUUUGAGGGCAGGAAGCAUCCAGCAUAUGGGAGAAAGAUGUAGGCUUGGAGGCUAAGCCAGUCUAAUCUUUUUUUUUUUUUUUGAGAUGGAGUUGCCCUCUGUCACCCAGGCUGGAGUGCAGUGGCGUGAUCUCAGCUCACUGCAACCUCCGCCUCCGCCUCGCAGUACCUGAGAUUACAGGUGCAUGCCAACACGGCUAAUUCUUGUAUUUUUAGUAGAUACAGGGUUUCACCAUGUUGGCCAGUUGGUCUGGAACGAACUCCUGACCUCAAGUGAUCCGCCCACCUCAGCCUCCGAAAGUUCUGCGAUUACAGGUGUGAGCCACUGUGCCUGGCCAAGCCUAAUCUUUCCACGUUCUUCUGCUUGCUUUUAUUCUAGUUACACUGUCAGCUGGUUAGAUGGUGCCCUCCCAGAUUGAAGGUAGAUCUGCGUUUCCCAGUCCACUGACUCAAAUGUUAAUCUCCUUUGGCAACGCCUUCACAGACACACCCAGAAUCAAUACAUUGCACCCUUCAAUCCAAUCAAGUUGACAUCCAGUAGUAACCAUCACAGAUGGCUAAUACGGGAGAUAUUCAUGAAGGGUCUGGGAAGGGGAUUUGGAAGAGAUAUGGACACAAAGGAAGGAGGAAAGAAAAGGGGAAGUGAGACGGGAACCAAACCAAACACCCUGUAUUGCACAAUUGAGCCUGGAGUUGGCCUGCUCGCCACAGAGCAGUCACAGGUUUUCAGGAUGCUUUAGUGAUAGCAGCCAUCAGUACCUCUCAUUAGGAGCAAAAGCCCUGAUUGGUAAUAGUAUAUUCUACUUAUUUAGAGAAUAAAAGUUCCCUGUUAGAACCAGCCUUCUCAGAAUGGCAUUCAGCUUUUCAGAAAAGCACAGCACCAGCAUAUUUCUUAUCUGCCUUGAAGGUUAUAAUAAAUCCCUUCUUCUGUUAAUUCAUAAAUCCUUCAGCCACAUGCCAUUUUGGGGCCAUAUGCUUUCUUUCCUCCCUCUAACCCUUGGAAAGAUCUUUCAUAUCCAAUCUCUGUAGAUAAUCUGAAUGUGAAAUCAGGUAUGGUUAUCUAAUCCCUCUAAUCAGAAGGUCAGCAGUUACCUGCAGCUUUUCCAUCUGUCCUCCAGCUGAAUGCUGCCAUUUAGUAAAUCAAAAAUUGGUUACAAAUUAGCAAAGCUGACUGGCUCAAUGAAAUCUAGCCUGGAGUCUUUGCUGGAAGGGGGGAAGUUUAAAUAUGGUUUGAAGGGAGAUUUGAGGUGAACUCUAUUUAUCAAAGCCGUGGAGUAGCAGCAUAAAAGAUGAGAGAUGUUCUCCUGGGUAAAAAUGUCAAAUCACAUGGGAAAUGGGAAUAUUUCACAUGGUGAUUACUGAAUUUUACAAUUGUUCGCAAAUUGAUUCAGCCCAGAAAUCAACUGGGAAGUCUCCCACAGGUGUCUAGCACUCUGCAGGUAUUAGCGUGAUACAGGGUAAGUCUCAAAGUACAAAAAAAAACACACAUGUGAAACAAUUUGCAAACAAUGAAGUGCUAACCUGUGUGGUGUGAAUUACAGAUGCAUUAGGACACCAGAAAAGGAAGAAAAGACAGUGGCAGCUGAAGACAUUUCAGGAAUGCUUCACUGAGAACCUAAGUCUUGUUCUGGGCCAUAAAGAAAAGGGGAGGGUGUGGUUUCUAUACCAGAGAUAAGAAAGGAGAAAAUUGGACGUGGAGGAAAGAUAUGAGUACCAAUCCGAGCGAACAAGGAAGAGUGAGUAAAUCUGUCCAGCUGGAGUUGGAGGUACAUUCUGGAAAAUGGUGAGAGAGGCUGUGUAGGGUAGGGGGACACGGAAAGAUGGGCCAAGACAUUUGGAGCUGAUAUUUGAUAUGGUUUGGCUGUGCCCCCACCCAAAUCUCAUCUUAAAUUGUAAUCCCCAUAAUCCCCACGUGUCGAGGGAGGGACCCGGUGGGAAGUGAUUGGAUCAUGGGGGCAGUUUUCCCCAUGGAAUUCUCGUGAUAGUGAGUGAGUUCUCACGAGAUCUCAUGGUUUUACAAGCGUCUGGUAUUUCACCUGAUUGCACUUCUCUCUUCUGCCUCCUAGUGAAAAAGGUGCCUGCUUCUCCUUCUGCCAUGAUUAUAAGUUUCCUGAGGCUUCCCCAGCCAUGCGUAACUCUCCUUCCCAUUUAUGAGAGAGCCACAUGACAUCAGCCCAUAGACUGUGGAGAGUAUUCCAGAUCUAUCACAUUCUGCGAUUCUGCGAUUCCCAGAAGGCUGGUCAUGAAAAAAUUCCCUCUUCAGUUUACAUAUAUGGCAGUGUGUCAAGGUGUCAGCUUUGAAGGCCACUCUUGUGUGGAGACGGUGCUACCAACUGACUGGAGACAGGAUGUGCCCUUUGGAUAGGGGACCGCAUAACUCAACAUCCAAACUGGGACACUGUUAUUAUUUAAGCAGGACAACAGGAAUAAGAUGAGACUGCUUAUUCAAACUGGGAUU
rnacentral:lncRNA from 1 species